rnacentral:lncRNA from 1 species
CUUGUUUUUUCACGUGUAGAAUACAGAUCAACUCCCUGUUUCCUUGAUGAAUUUGAGGUCAUUCCGUAAGUGAAAAAAUCAACAAGUGAAUAAAUACAGACAGAGAGCUGCUCCUUGCCAAUGUUCCACUCAGGUUCCCAUCCAGCCAACCUUCAUUCAUUCAAUAGCAGUUGAGCUCCUCACAGAGGUCCUGGCUGUCAGCAGUCAAUGUCACAGCUUCCGGAGGAUAAUUCAGAUGUUGGCAUAAAGAGAGAAGGACUCGCGGAAGCGGCCCCAUGUCUAGAUGCAGACUUUGUGUCAUGUUGUGAAUGCAACAUGUUCGACAGCAUUCCUGCCGAGGAAAUAUCUCCUACGAUGGGCUAGCAUUUUCCGUUUUUCUUGGAGAUGAAGAGCCAUUCCUCUGACGAAGACACUUUGCAACUGCCUCUGUCCCCUCUAAGGCAGCUCAAGAGAGAGCCAUUUUGUGGGGCAAACGGUAAAUACCUAAAAUAGCCUUCCUGAUAGGUCAGAGAACCUGGAGUCCUUCCUGGAGCUUCAGUGAAAUUUGGGACCUUAAGGUUGGUGUAUUCACUGAAAAAUAAAGUGGCUUCCCUUUUUAUAUAAUUUGAAGGG